AGGUCAGUGCUGUGCAGCUCUUGGAUCACUGAUUGGCUGGAUUAGAAAAUUCCUGUGCAGCGUUCCUCGCUCCUGGUACUGGUUUGCUUCUAACCAUUCCAGCUGCAUUCGCUUCAGAGACCUUUGGACAACUGGCAUUUCCUUGCACGAAUUAUUUGUGUGGGUGUGUGUUCCCUGACAUCUUAUGAUUUAGAGAGCUCCCUAUGAGUGUAUAAUAAUAAUAACAAUAAUAA
rnacentral:lncRNA from 1 species